rnacentral:rRNA from 1 species
UACAGAGGUCUCAAGCGUUGUUCGGAUUCAUUGGGCGUAAAGGGUGCGUAGGUGGCGCUGUAAGUCGGGUGUGAAAUUUCGGAGCUUAACUCCGAAACUGCAUUCGAUACGUGCUGGUCGUGCUUGAGGGACUGGAGAGGAGACUGGAAUUCAUGGUGUAGCAGUGAAAUGCGUAGAGAUCAUGAGGAAGACCAGUGGCGAAGGCGGGUCUCUGGACAGUUCCUGACACUGAGGCACGAAGGCCAGGGGAGCAAACGGG